rnacentral:rRNA from 1 species
GACGAACGCUAGCGGCAGGCUUAAUACAUGCAAGUCGAACGGUAAGUGUAGUAGCAAUAUUAUACGAGAGUGACGUACGGGUGCGUAACACGUAUGCAACCUACCUUGUACAGGGGGAUAGCUCGGGGAAACUCGAAUUAACCCUCCAUGAGAUCACAGUGUGGCAUCACAUAGUGAUUAAAACUCAGGUGGUACAAGAUGGGCAUGCGUCUGAUUAGUUAGNGGCGGGGUAACGGCCACCAAGACGAUGAUCAGUAGGGGACCUGAGAGGGUGAUCCCCCACACUGGCACUGAGAUACGGGCCAGACUCCUACGGGAGGCAGCAGUAGGGAAUAUUGGUCAAUGGAUGGAAGUCUGAACCAGCCAUGCCGCGUG